GGGCUAUGGCUUAGUGGCAGAGCAUCUGCUUUGCGUGCAAAAAGUCCUAGGUUCAAUCCUGGGCAUCUCCA